rnacentral:tRNA from 1 species
GUGGUGGUUCAGUGGUAGAAUUCUCAUCUUCCAUGUGGGAGACCCGGGUUUGAUUCCCAGCCAAUGCA